UACGUAGGGUGCAAGCGUUAAUCGGAAUUACUGGGCGUAAAGCGUGCGCAGGCGGUUUUGUAAGUUUGUCGUGAAAGCCCCGGGCUCAACCUGGGAAUUGCGAUGAAGACUGCAAGGCUUGAAUCUGGCAGAGGGGGGUAGAAUUCCACGUGUAGCAGUGAAAUGCGUAGAGAUGAUGGAGGAACACCGAUGGCGAAGGCAGCCCCCUGGGUCAAGAUUGACGCUCAUGCACGAAAGCGUGGGGAGCAAACAAGGA
rnacentral:rRNA from 1 species